rnacentral:rRNA from 1 species
ACCUGAAAUAAGCAAGAGCACCCGCUGAACUUAA